rnacentral:rRNA from 1 species
UGAUCCUGGCUCAGAACGAACGCUGGUGGCAGGCUUAACACAUGCAAGUCGAGCGCCCCGCAAGGGGAGCGGCAGACGGGUGAGUAACGCGUGGGAAUCUACCCAACCCUACGGAAUAACGCAUGGAAACGUGUGCUAAUACCGUAUACGCCCUAAGGGGGAAAGAUUUAUCGGGGAUGGAUGAGCCCGCGUUGGAUUAGCUAGUUGGUGGGGUAAAGGCCUACCAAGGCGACGAUCCAUAGCUGGUCUGAGAGGAUGAUCAGCCACAUUGUGACUGAGACACGGCCCAAACUCCUACGGGAGGCAGCAGUGGGGAAUAUUGGACAAUGGGCGCAAGCCUGAUCCAGCCAUGCCGCGUGAGUGAUGAAGGUCUUAGGAUUGUAAAGCUCUUUCACCGGAGAAGAUAAUGACGGUACCCGGAGAAGAAGCCCCGGCUAACUUCGUGCCAGCAGCCGCGGUAAUACGAAGGGGGCUAGCGUUGUUCGGAAUUACUGGGCGUAAAGCGCACGUAGGCGGAUAUUUAAGUCAGGGGUGAAAUCCCAGAGCUCAACUCUGGAACUGCCUUUGAUACUGGGUAUCUCGAGUAUGGAAGAGGUGAGUGGAAUUCCGAGUGUAGAGGUGAAAUUCGUAGAUAUUCGGAGGAACACC